CUUACUUUAAUGUGAACUAAUUUUUAAUCAUGGUAAAGUACUUGAAAAUUAACAUAUCCUUAAACUCUCUUCUCGGUGUCACCAUCUCCAUCAAACCAAGUGUGUUUAUUCUGCUCCUCCUCUGUGCUGGGUUUGAGAGUCUGAACAAAGGCAGCAUGUGGAGCAAGGAGUUAGCAGUGAUAACAGCCAAUAAAGAAGAGAUGAAAUGUCCUCAGGACUGCAGCUUGUCUGGACAUUUAACCAACUGCUGGGUUUGCUACUUUCAGGGAGGGCAGCACUGUUGAUAUUUAACAUGACAGUCCAUAUUGGGUCUCAUGACUUAAUACAGGUUCUUAAAGACUGACAUGGUCUUUGCUACACAGAUGAUGAAGUCAAGGAUCACUUAGACAGUGAGAGGACUCAAGUUCAGUGUCUAAUUCCAAGGCAUUGCUAGUUAAGAUGUUGAGACCUGGGUUAGAGGAGUGGACAAAAGUAUUUGCAACCACCAGGCAUUCAGCAUUCCUUCUGAACACCAAUUUGGAAUGUGCCACUUCCCCCUCAUAGGAGAACAAUAUUCUUUGGGACCAGCAACCCCAAAUUCUUCAGUUUUGAGUGACAUUAUUAAAUAAAAAAACCCACUAGAAAUGGCAGAAUGUUGGGAGAACUGACACUGCUCCAUACAAAGCAGACCAUGAAGAAUCAAGCACUGAACAGCAACAAUCUGAACAACAAAGCUGACCUAAACACUUGGUGGGUUUGUUCUUCAGAAUAAUAUUAAAAAAGCCCUGAACAACCAGGAGCAGAACAACAUGUUCAGUCAGAGUCUCAAGAAUGUACUUUCUAAUGGGGAACAGGACUUCUCUGAUGUACCGGAGGAGAAGGAAUAUAAAUGUAUAGAAGCAGAAAACCUGACCAUUUUCCUCUAAUGUCUGAAAAUCCAGAGCAAGCUCAUGCGAACUCUGACUCUGAGGACAUGCGUGUUGAGGAGGAGCACAAUUACAGCCACAUAACAAACAAGACAGAACAAUGUAGGGAACCAGAACAACUGAACAUUCUGCCAGUGGAAUUAAUCCAGGACUCAGAGCAGCAAGGACAAAAGCUGGAGAGUUGGAGGCAACAUUCUGCAAAGAGAAGCUGCAUGACCAUUGUGUACACACAGAGAAGCUCAGCAACAUAUGUGACCUGAAUACCUGAAUGUAACCAGCAGCCAUUCCCCAGACAGAGCUUUCCAAAAAGAACAAAAACCACAACAAGAUCACAUGAACUUUGAACUUCUCAAAAAAGAAGGGUUUUGUGGAAGUGCCAAAUGCAGAGAAGCGUCAGCCAGUGGAAUCACAGAAUCACCCUCUGUGAGUCCUGAGUGGUUAAAAAACAGAAAGAAGGUCCCAUCUGUGAAAAAGCAGAUGACUAACAGGAGAGUCAUGUGCAGCUUUGGAAGAAGAAAAAAAAAUAGGAUGAAGAAGAGAAGCUGAUACUGCUGAAUGUUGAAAUGGAGACCUGAGGCUGGAUGUGGCACCUCAGCAAUCAGAGGUGCUGAUUACAUUUUGCCAUUCACAAAUACAUAGACAAGAUGA